AAGCUAAACGUAGAUGGAGCACGGUGGGUGGUCACUGAAUAUUUUGACGAGCACAACCACGAACUCAUAAAGAAGUUUGACCCAGUAAAAUUUCUGAGCGCCCACAGAGGAUUCAGUCCCCUCGAGAAGAAAUUUGUAAAAUUGCUACAUGAUUGUAACAUCGUUCCAUCAAGAAUGUUCCAAAUAUUGUCCCUCAUCCACAGCGGAGAUGGUAGACUGAGUAGCAUUCCCUAGAUACCGACAGAUGUCACAAACCUAAAGGCAAAGUACCGCAGAGAGAGCAGGUUGGCUGACAUAGAAGACACGAUAUCCUGCUUCAACGAGAAAGCAAAAGCAGAACCUGAUUUCUUCUACAGGAUAAGAUUGGACGAUGAGGACCGUGUCAGAAACAUGUAUUGGGUGGAUGGUGCUACAAGAAGAGCCUACAAACAUUUCUGAGAUUGGAUUUCGUUCGACGCGACAUAUCUAACUAAUAUGUACAAGAUGCCCUGCGCUCCAUUCAUAGUAAUAAAUAACCACAAUACGGAUGGUUACACUUGGUUGUUCAAAAUCUUCUUGGAGUGCAUGGGUGGACUUGCUCCGAUGAACAUAAUAACAGACCAGGAUUUUAGCAUGCAUGCAGGCAUAGAGGAGGUCUUUCCGUUGGCAGUGCACAGGCACUGCAGGUGGCAUAUUAUUAAGAAGGCUGAGGAGACACUAGGACCGUUCUUUGUUACUACGCAGCGCAGCGAGGGGUUCAAUGUUGUUUUGAAGUGGUCCGACGGGAUUGUGUGCUGUCACAUACUGAAAGUAAUGGACAUGGUCAGGGUAAUGCGAUUGCCCCGCCAUUUCAUAUGGCAGCGAUGGACUUGAGAUGCUGACGAUGAGUUGGGGCCACAAACAUCAAAUGCAGUUUUGGCUAUGCAUGAUGAGAGAGCAGAGGCAACCAUGGAAGCUGUGAGGCACGUUGUGUUGACCAGGAACUAUGCUGAACUAAUAGAUGAAGCAUGCAAAAGUGAUGAGACAGCGAGGGUGGCAGAAAAACACAGGAAGGCCCUAAAAAGAGAGCUUGAUGAGAUCAAAAAGAGGAAGGCUGAAGAAGCCUUACAUGGGUUCCCCCGCACCUGA
rnacentral:rRNA from 1 species